rnacentral:rRNA from 1 species
CUGUGGCCGUCCGAGUUGUAGUCUGGAGAAGCGUUUUCUGUAUCGGACCGUGUACAAGUCCCUUGGAACAGGGCGUCACAGAGGGUGAGAAUCCCGUCUUUGACACGGACUGCCGGUGCUUUGUGAUGCGCUCUCGAAGAGUCGAGUUGUUUGGGAAUGCAGCUCAAAUCGGGUGGUAAAUUCCAUCUAAAGCUAAAUAUUGGCGAAAGACCGAUAGCGAACAAGUACCGUGAGGGAAAGAUGAAAAGCACUUUGGAAAGAGAGUUAAACAGUACGUGAAAUUGUUGAAAGGGAAACGCUUGAAGUCAGUCGCGUCUUCCGGGAUUCAGCCUUGCGUUUCUUUCGCUUGGYGUACUUCCCGGAGUUUGACGGGCCAGUGUCGAUUUCGAUCGUCGGAGAAAGGUCUUGGGAAUGUGGCACCUUCGGGUGUGUUAUAGCCCUCGGUCGUAUGCGACGGUCGGGAUCGAGGAUCGCAGCACGCCUCUUUUGGCCGGGGUUCGCCCACGUAACGUGCUUAGGAUGCUGGCGUAAUGGCUUUAAGCGACCCGUCUUGAAACACGGACCAAGGAGUCUAACAUGCCUGCGAGUGUUUGGGUGCAAAACCCGGACGCGCAAUGAAAGUGAAAGGUUGGGACCUCUGUCGCGGAGGGCACCGACGCCCGGGCCAGACCUUCUGUGACGGCUCCGAGGUAGAGCAUGUAUGUUGGGACCCGAAAGAUGGUGAACUAUGCCUGAGUAGGGUGAAGCCAGAGGAAACUCUGGUGGAGGCUCGUAGCGAUUCUGACGUGCAAAUCGAUCGUCGAACUUGGGUAUAGGGGCGAAAGACUAAUCGAACCAUCUAGUAGCUGGUUC